AAAGAAACUAACAAGGAUUCCCCUAGUAACGGCGAGUGAAGCGGGAAGAGCACAAAUUUUAAAUCUACCUGGUUUCCAGGUCGAGUUGUAAUUUGAAGAAACGUUUUUUACGUUCCGGGUUAGAUUAAAUCCUUUGGGAUAAGGUAUCAUGGAGGGUGAGAAUCCCGUGUAUACCAACCACUGGAAUGUUAUUAAUACGAUUUCUAAGAGUCGAGUUGUUUGGGAAUGCAGCUCUAAAUGGGUGGUAAAUUUCACCUAAUGCUAAAUAUAAGCGAGAGACCGAUAGUGAACAAGUACCGUGAGGGAAAGAUGAAAAGAACUUUGAAAAGAGAGUUAAAUAGUACGUGAAAUUGUUGAAAGGGAAACGGUUGAAGUCAGUCAUGCUGGUGGGAAUCAACUUAAGGGAAACUCUAGGUGCAUUUCUUCGCUUGGCAGGUUAGCGUCGAUUUUGAAUGUCAUAAAAUGAUUGGGGAAGGUAGCUCCUUCGGGAGUGUUAAGCCCUUAGUAGAUGUGAUGUUCGGGAUCGAGGAUUGCAACGGAUACCCUUUGGGCUAGUCGCCUGGUCUCUAAUACGAAGUUGGGUUAUGGAUAGCAUGCUAACCAUGAUCUGAUUUUCGGUUAAAAGAUUAGAGCGAAUGUAAAUUCGUUAAGGACGCUG
rnacentral:rRNA from 1 species